rnacentral:rRNA from 1 species
GAACGGCGCUUUGGACGGUCUGGUGGCGAAGUGGCGAACGGGUGAGUAAUGUAUCGGAACGUGCUGGUAGCGGGGGAUAACUGCACUGGCAGCAGCUAAUACCACCGCCUUCCUUCGGGGGAAAGCGGGGACCUUCGGGCCUCGCACUAUUGCGAGCGGCCGAUAUCGGAUUAGUUGGUGGGGUAACGGCUCACCAAGCGACGAUCCCGUAGCGCUGGUUUGAGGACGACCAGCCACACGCUGGGACACGGACGCGGCCCAGACUCCUACGGGAGGCAGCAGUGAGGAAUUUUGGACAAUGAGAAGCGGUCGACCAUCCGCGUGUGCGACGAAGGCCUUCGGGUUUGUAAACGCCUGGCGGAAAGAAGCAGCACGGGAUAUGCCCGUGCAACUGACAGUACCUGCAGAAGUCAGCACCAGCCAACUGGGCACUUAACUGACCGCGGUAAUACGUAAGUUGGCAAUCGGUGGGCGUAAAGUGCCGAGCGGUUCGGAAGAAGAUGUGAAAUCCCGAGCAACUUUGAGCCGUUUUUAACUGCCCAGGCUAGGUGUGCCUUCAGGGAGGUGCUGAUUACGCGUGUGGCAAUUGAAAUGCGUAGAUGUGCGGAAGGCUUGCCGAUGGGCGAAGGCGGCCUCCUGGGAUAGCACUGACGCUCUAUGCGAAAGCGUGGGAGCAAACAGGAUUGAAUGCCCUGGUAGUCACGCCACAAACGAUGUCAACUGGCUAUUUGGGGCCUUCGGGCCUUGGGCCAAGCGCAACUAACGACGAAGUUGACCGCCUGGGGAGUACGGUCAUAUGAACCAAAACUCAAAGGAAUUGACGGGGACCAGUGGAUGAUGUGGAUUAAUUCGAUGCCUUGCGAAAAACCUUCCACCUGCCCUUGACAUAUCUGGAGAUCGAAGAUUUGGGAGUACUACGCAAGAGAACCGGAACACAGGUGCUGCAUAGCUCGUGUUAGCUCGUAUCGUGAAGAUGUUGGGUUAAGUCCCGCAACGAAGCACCAACCCUUGUCAUUAGUUGCUACGAAGGAGCACUCGGCCGGGCUACCGGUGACCGGCCGGAAGGUGAGGAUGACGUCAAGUCCUCGCGGCCCAUAUGAGCGGACUUCCCGUCAUACAAUGGUCAGACAGAGGGUCGCCAACCCGCGAGAGGAGCCAAUCAGAAGCCCGAUCGUGAUCCGGAUCGCAGAUUAUAACUCGACUGCGUAAGUCUGGAAUCUGUCGGAUCAGCAUGUCGCGGUGAACAUUCGGUCUUAUACACACCGCCCGUCACACCGGGUGAGUUUUACCAGAAGUGAUUAGCCUAACCGUAAGGAGGCGGUGCCACGGUAGGAUUACUGACUGGGGUAAGUCGUAACAAGGUAG